GACGAACGCUGGUGGCGUGCUUAACACAUGCAAGUCGAACGGAAAGGCCCUGCUUUUGUGGGGUGCUCGAGUGGCGAACGGGUGAGUAACACGUGAGUAACCUGCCCUUGACUUUGGGAUAACUUCAGGAAACUGGGGCUAAUACCGGAUAGGAGCUCCUGCUGCAUGGUGGGGGUUGGAAAGUUUCGGCGGUUGGGGAUGGACUCGCGGCUUAUCAGCUUGUUGGUGGGGUAGUGGCUUACCAAGGCUUUGACGGGUAGCCGGCCUGAGAGGGUGACCGGCCACAUUGGGACUGAGAUACGGCCCAGACUCCUACGGGAGGCAGCAGUGGGGAAUAUUGCACAAUGGGCGGAAGCCUGAUGCAGCAACGCCGCGUGCGGGAUGACGGCCUUCGGGUUGUAAACCGCUUUCGCCUGUGACGAAGCGUGAGUGACGGUAAUGGGUAAAGAAGCACCGGCUAACUACGUGCCAGCAGCCGCGGUGAUACGUAGGGUGCGAGCGUUGUCCGGAUUUAUUGGGCGUAAAGGGCUCGUAGGUGGUUGAUCGCGUCGGAAGUGUAAUCUUGGGGCUUAACCCUGAGCGUGCUUUCGAUACGGGUUGACUUGAGGAAGGUAGGGGAGAAUGGAAUUCUUGGUGGAGCGGUGGAAUGCGCAGAUAUCAGGAGGAACACCAGUGGCGAAGGCGGUUCUCUGGGCCUUUCCUGACGCUGAGGAGCGAAAGCGUGGGGAGCGAACAGGCUUAGAUACCCUGGUAGUCCACGCUGUAAACGGUGGGUACUAGGUGUGGGGUCCAUUCCACGGGUUCCGUGCCGUAGCUAACGCUUUAAGUACCCCGCCUGGGGAGUACGGCCGCAAGGCUAAAACUCAAAGGAAUUGACGGGGCCCCGCACAAGCGGCGGAGCAUGCGGAUUAAUUCGAUGCAACGCGUAGAACCUUACCUGGGUUUGACAUGGAUCGGGAGUGCUCAGAGAUGGGUGUGCCUCUUUUGGGGUCGGUUCACAGGUGGUGCAUGGCUGUCGUCAGCUCGUGUCGUGAGAUGUUGGGUUAAGUCCCGCAACGAGCGCAACCCUUGUUCACUGUUGCCAGCACGUUAUGGUGGGGACUCAGUGGAGACCGCCGGGGUCAACUCGGAGGAAGGUGGGGAUGACGUCAAGUCAUCAUGCCCCUUAUGUCCAGGGCUUCACGCAUGCUACAAUGGCUGGUACAGAGAGUGGCGAGCCUGUGAGGGUGAGCGAAUCUCGGAAAGCCGGUCUCAGUUCGGAUUGGGGUCUGCAACUCGACCUCAUGAAGUCGGAGUCGCUAGUAAUCGCAGAUCAGCAACGCUGCGGUGAAUACGUUCCCGGG
rnacentral:rRNA from 1 species